rnacentral:rRNA from 1 species
GACGAACGCUGGCGGCGUGCCUAAUACAUGCAAGUUGAGCGCUGAAGGUUGGUACUUGUCCCAACUGGAUGAGCAGCGAACGGGUGAGUAACGCGUGGGGAAUCUGCCUUUGAGCGGGGGACAACAUUUGGAAACGAAUGCUAAUACCGCAUAAAAACUUUAAACACAAGUUUUAAGUUUGAAAGAUGCAAUUGCAUCACUCAAAGAUGAUCCCGCGUUGUAUUAGCUAGUUGGUGAGGUAAAGGCUCACCAAGGCGAUGAUACAUAGCCGACCUGAGAGGGUGAUCGGCCACAUUGGGACUGAGACACGGCCCAAACUCCUACGGGAGGCAGCAGUAGGGAAUCUUCGGCAAUGGACGAAAGUCUGACCGAGCAACGCCGCGUGAGUGAAGAAGGGUGUCGGAUCGUAAAACUCUGUUGGUAGAGAAGAACGUUGGCGAGAGUGGAAAGCUCAUCAAGUGACGGUAACUACCCAGAAAGGGACGGCUAACUACGUG